ACUUCGUACUAUCAGCUAGGCCCGCCACUGUUUCUUGAGCGGAUAGGAGCCUUUUAGCCUACUUGAUACAGAAAGACGGAAGUUGAAGGUGUUGAUGGACAUUUCUGAAUUGAUGUGCUAGGUAAAAAAAUGUGUGGGCCCUACUGUGCCUACACGUGAUGUCUCCUACACCCAAUCUUGGAUCAAGCUGAAAUUUCGCACAAUUAUUUCUUUUACCUGACAACACAAGAAGAAAAAAAAAGUAACCAAUCAGUCAAUUAAUUACUGGGGAAAGGAGAGAGAGAUGAAUGCUCCAUUAGCAGCAAACAUUUCAUAGUCACUCCGAGCUUCGAGGGACAACUACAUUGAAGAGGAAGAAUAAGUAUCACAACGCAUGAUUUGCUUAGGAUUUCAGGACUGAAGAUUUGAGAGAAGACUAAGACCCAAGACAAUGUCGACCAUUUUCUUCACAUUACUUCUGUUCGGCUUAGGUGUCAGUCAAAUGUAUAAUCGCAAACCUUCACCGUGUAGGUUCGAUUCCAGUGGUGAAGAUUGUGCCGUAAAAACUGGCGGAAGUUACUUCUGGUUUAGCUAUGCUCGUAAAUGUGAAUUCCUCAAACACUGCAACAAGAAUAACAAGGACGUUUUCAAGACUGAACAACAUUGCCGAACUACAUGUCUCCACGAGGAAGAACAAGCUAAGAAAAGGGGCUAGGCCUACUAAUAAGAUGAUUCUCAGCUAUCUGAAGAUACUCUGUGACUUAGUGUUAACAAAUGUCUAGCUUUUGCUUUGCUUAGUAGUGUACUGUUUAAUGUUUCAUUUUGUACAUUCUUUCGCUCUUUCUCUGUCUUUAUCAAAAUUAUAAUAAAAACUGCACUCAAGUUA